CGAAUCGACAAAUACCACAGGAACAAGAGUAGCUUACCCUCAACCACUUUGAUCUCGGCGUCAGUGAUACCAGCAAAAGCUGGCCAGUGAUGCUAAUACGUGUCGAGGGAACGGGGACAAAUGUGGGGAAUGUAAUUACCUAACGAAAAUGACAUGAAGGAAUUAAUUCACUACGUGCAUGUUCGCUACCUCACGACUGAAAUACCCGCCGCUAACAAUUAGGCUGAUCCUCCUCUCACUGAGCCGAAUAGAGACAACUACCUGGAAACAGACUUCCUGCUGUUACACUAACUAAAGCUAACAAGAAUGCAGCCUUAGGAUCAGUGGAGGAGAGCAGUAUUACCAAGGGAAGCAAAUGGAAUUGGUGGAGUGGGAGCCC